GACGAACGCUGGCGGCGUGCUUAACACAUGCAAGUCGAACGCUGAAGCCCAGCUUGCUGGGUGGAUGAGUGGCGAACGGGUGAGUAACACGUGAGUAACCUGCCCUCUUCUUUGGGAUAACUCCCGGUAACGGGUGCUAAUACUGGACAUUCACUGUUUCGCGCAUGGGGGUUGGUGGGUAGGUUUUGUCUGUUGGGGGAUGGACUCGCGGCCUAGCAGCUGGUUGGUGGGUUGAUGGCGUACCAGAGCGUCGACGCGUAGCCGGCCUGAGAGGGUGACCGGUGACAUUAGGAUGGUGAGACAGCCCAGACUGGUGACGGAGGCAGGAGUGGGGAGUAAUGCAGAAGGGGCGAAAGCCUGAUGCAGGGACGACGCGUGAGGGAUGGAGGCCUUGGGGUUGAAGAACUCUUUCGGGCAUGGUAGAGCCGCAGCCUUGGGUUGUGGUGACGGUAGCGGGUAAAGAAGCGCCGGCUAACUACGUG
rnacentral:rRNA from 1 species